rnacentral:rRNA from 1 species
AGUGAACGCUGGCGGCGUGCCUAAUACAUGCAAGUCGAACGGAGAUUAAGUAGCUUGCUAUUUAAUCUUAGUGGCGCACGGGUGAGUAAUAUAUAGCUAACUUGCCCAUUACUAAGGGACAACAGUUGGAAACGACUGCUAAUACCUUAUACUCCGUAUCUAUAUAAGUAGAUACGGGAAAGUUUUUCGGUAAUGGAUAGGGCUAUAUCGUAUCAGCUAGUUGGUAAGGUAAUGGCUUACCAAGGCUAUGACGCGUAACUGGUCUGAGAGGAUGAUCAGUCACACUGGAACUGAGACACGGUCCAGACUUCUACGGGAGGCAGCAGUAGGGAAUAUUGCUCAAUGGGGGAAACCCUGAAGCAGCAACGCCGCGUGGAGGAUGACACUUUUCGGAGCGUAAACUCCUUUUCUUGGGAAAGAAUUAUGACGGUACCCAAGGAAUAAGCACCGGCUAACUCCGUG